rnacentral:rRNA from 1 species
UACAGAGGAGGCAAGCGUUGUUCGGAAUUACUGGGCGUAAAGCGUGCGCAGGCGGCGCGUUAAGACAGGUGUGAAAGCCCCGAGCUUAACUUGGGAAUUGCGCUUGUGACUGGCGUGCUGGAGUGUGGCAGAGGGAGGUGGAAUUCCACGUGUAGCAGUGAAAUGCGUAGAGAUGUGGAGGAACACCGAUGGCGAAGGCAGCCUCCUGGGCCAGCACUGACGCUCAUGCACGAAAGCGUGGGAAGCAAACAGG